GACGAACGCUGGCGGAGUGCCUAACACAUGCAAGUCGAGCGGCAGCGGGAGUAGUUUACUACUUGCCGGCGAGCGGCGGACGGCUGAGUAACGCGUGGGAAUGUGCCCCAAAGUGAGGAAUAACUGCCCGAAAGGGUAGCUAAUGCCGCAUAUGAUCUUCGGGUUAAAGUAUUUAUUACGCUUUGGGAGCGGCCCGCGUCCGAUUAGGUAGUUGGUGAGGUAAAGGCUCACCAA
rnacentral:rRNA from 1 species